UCCGGGACUCGGGUGGCCGGGCUGGGGUUGCGGGGUGAAGUGGCACCAGGCCAGGGGACACCCGGCCGAGGGUGCGGGACAGGAACUCGUACCUGCCAACACAGGUCUCAUCCAAACAGGCCAUAUGAAAUAAGGAACUUUUUCAGUGCCUGCUUUCUUUGAUCACUGCCUGACCACUUUUUUCCAGUUUGAAAUAACAGCCUUUUAUUCCAGAGGAAUCUAUCAAUUUAAAUUAGAUAAUUUCUAGAGAAUUUAGUGGGUUUUAGUUAAAUGUGCUGAUUGACUUACAUUCCAAUGGCAAAACUUCUGAUAGAAAAAUUAAUUUAUUGUUGAGAACUCUUGACCUUUUGCAGAACAAGGAGCUUUACUUCCUCACCGAAAAUUUCCAGUCAAAUGCUAAGCGGAAAGAGCUGCUAGAGUUUGGGCAAUUAUCAGGAUAUUACUGAAGGGAAAUUAUUUUCUCUGAUCAACAAAUUCCAGGGUGCAACCAGUUCAUAUGGCUCGAUGACUGUCAGCUGUUGAAGUUCAGCAUUCCAUAAAGCCAGAUAAGAUAGCUUUAUCAUUAAGUAGAAAGGAAACCAGCUGGCUCUGGAGGCCAAGAAGUAAGUUUUUAUAACUUAGAAACCAGAUAAUAAACUUUUCAACAGAGAAGGAAGCAAUGUCAAAGUUAGCAGCAUUGUCUGAAGAUGGAGACCUACGUAUGUGUUGGAAAAUUCAGUAAAAACACCUGUGCAGUACUUGUGGCUGCCAGAAAAAUGAUAGUUACAUUUCUCUUUUAAACCCCUACAUGCCGGAAUUUUACUUUGUGCUUCAGGACACCAACACAAAUGGUGCUUAGAGAGAACUUCCCCUAACACUGUUUCCUUGUAACUCCUGCCUGUGCUGGUGCCUUCCCUUGGAACCAGCUGUUCCCAGUGGGCUGUGCUGCACACAAGGGUUAAGCUGCGUUUCUCUGUGCACUCCUCUGGGAUUACCCCACCUUCUCAGGUGCCCUUGGGUCAGAGAUACCGGGCUCUGCAGGUAGAAUCAGUGCUGAGGGCUAUUCUGCAUUGAGGUUGGAGGUAUCAACAAGGUCAAGUUGACCUGCAUUCCGUAUCAAAAUCACUCCUGUGGAGAAAAAAAAAGACAGGUUAUUGUCACAGGGACUCAGAGGGGAACUGAAGGCGCAGUGUAUGACAUGGGAAGCAAGGACAGGUUACACAGAAAAAUGAGGGAAAUGCUGUUCAAAAUUUCAGGGAGAAAAUUCACGUGGCCAGAGCUUGAUUAGUGUUCAAGCUUGCCAGCACUGUGAAAGACAGCAAAAAGGACUUGUUAAAACAUGUUACCAGCAAAAGGAGGAUCACAGAUCACAUCAGUUCACACUUGACAAGGUCAGACACCUCCCAAACAGGGACAUGGAGGAAGCAGAGGUGUUUAAUGCCUUCUUCACCUCUGUCAUUAACAUCAGGGCUGGGCCCUGGGACACACAGAGCUCCGUGUUGUGGGACUGUGAAUAGGGCAGGAUAAACUCUCCACCAAAGCUGAACGUGUUUGAGGCUUGCUGCUCCAGCUGGAUGCACACAGAUCUAUGGGGCUCAGGGGGGUUCAUCCCAGGGUACUGAAAACGCUGGGCCUGUCAUCACAGGAUCUCUCUCCAUUAUUUCCCAAGUCUUGGGAGACUGGAGAGGUCCCUGCACACAGGAAGCUGGCCAAACCUGCCAUUUUCUAGAGGAGCAAGAAAGAAGACCCUGGAGCCCUUGCUGCCGUGUCCUGGCAGAAGGAGGUGACCUGCUCCCACACGGUGGCACUGCUGGCCUGGCUGUGUCCCGCUCGUGUCCCCUCUGCCUGCCCAGGGAAGGGUCCUGACAAUAGCCCAGUGCACUUGGCAUCUCACAGACUCCCAGGAUCGAGGCCCUCUGCAGUGCUUGGUGAAUCACAGAGCGACCUGGGUCACCUUCUGCUCCUCCUUGCAGGAUUUUGGGGAAGGGGAAAGGCGCUGGGUUACACCUGCACUGAAAACAUUGUGGGGUGAGAACAGUCCUGCUCAUCCCGCGCUGGCUCAGGGCACUCAAGGGGCCAAACACCUCCUGUUGCUCCUCUUUUCCUGCUUCAGCUCCCCCAGACCCCUCUUGUUUCUCCUCACUGCUGCCGUGCUGAGCCUCUUUUUCCAAACAAAGCUCCAUCAAUGCCUUUGCCCUCAAAGCCUGUUCAUCUCUCCUAACACCCUAUAACUCCUCCACGCUCUUUUUUCCUCCUAUGCUUUUCUUCGUGCCCACACUCCUUUCCUCUUUGCCCAGUGCUGCAUUUGAGUCCUGGGCCAGAACACAGACCUGCCGUGGGGUGGCCUUUCCUUUCCUGAAGUCAGGCUUUGGAUUGUUUCAUGAAUGGGUCUGUCAGGUGCAAGGUCUGGUUGGGUUUGUGGACAAGCAGCUGUGGUCCUGCAGGACCAGCAUGGCUCAUCUGUGGCCGUGCUGGACUCUCCCUGUGGCUAACACCCUGCCUGGCUCGGCCUGAGCUCGACUGGGCUCUUUCCACGCCGUGAGGUACUCGGGCGUCUGAUCAGCCCACGCAGCUGCUAAACUGGGUCCCUGCCUGUGUUUUCCUCCUGAGCGUGACUGUCUGUUUGUUAAAUAAUGUAGCGACACGAGGUUCCUUGAACUCAAUUUAUCUUCCCGUGUAGCCAUGGGAACAGUGGCUGGGGUGGUGACGCUGGGCUCGAUGUCAGAUCUGCUGCAAGGCUCUGGGUGAGCCCGGCUUAGCCCUGCUCCCUUGAUGCUGUCCUGCCUGGCAGCUUCGCUUCUUUAGGCUUGUUUGCUUAGACUCUUCUUAGACUCUGUACUUUAAACCUGGGAAAUGCCGAGGAUGAUGGGGAGUUUGGGGGAAGAUGAAGGCUUUGGGAGCGGCGAGAUGUGACAGAGGGGAGAGGUUGCACCCAAAAGAUGCUGCAACUCCCUGUGCUGCCUGCAGUAUAUGGUUUGUGGAAAGAAAAUAAAGGCACGUGCAAGUAGUUCAA